rnacentral:tRNA from 1 species
AGAAAAUCCGUUGGCUUUAUUGACCGUGGGGGGUUCAAGUCCCCUACCCCCA